rnacentral:rRNA from 1 species
AGAGUUUGAUCCUGGCUCAGGAUGAACGCUAGCGGCAGGCUUAACACAUGCAAGUCGAGGGGCAGCAUAAUGGAUAGCAAUAUCUAUGGUGGCGACCGGCGCACGGGUGCGUAACGCGUAUGCAACCUACCUUUAACAGGGGGAUAACACUGAGAAAUUGGUACUAAUACCCCAUAAUAUCAUAGAAGGCAUCUUUUAUGGUUGAAAAUUCCGAUGGUUAGAGAUGGGCAUGCGUUGUAUUAGCUAGUUGGUGGGGUAACGGCUCACCAAGGCGACGAUACAUAGGGGGACUGAGAGGUUAACCCCCCACACUGGUACUGAGACACGGACCAGACUCCUACGGGAGGCAGCAGUGAGGAAUAUUGGUCAAUGGACGCAAGUCUGAACCAGCCAUGCCGCGUGCAGGAUGACGGCUCUAUGAGUUGUAAACUGCUUUUGUACGAGGGUAAACGCAGAUACGUGUAUCUGUCUGAAAGUAUCGUACGAAUAAGGAUCGGCUAACUCCGUGCCAGCAGCCGCGGUAAUACGGAGGAUUCAAGCGUUAUCCGGAUUUAUUGGGUUUAAAGGGUGCGUAGGCGGUUUGAUAAGUUAGAGGUGAAAUUUCGGGGCUCAACCCUGAACGUGCCUCUAAUACUGUUGAGCUAGAGAGUAGUUGCGGUAGGCGGAAUGUAUGGUGUAGCGGUGAAAUGCUUAGAGAUCAUACAGAACACCGAUUGCGAAGGCAGCUUACCAAACUAUAUCUGACGUUGAGGCACGAAAGCGUGGGGAGCAAACAGGAUUAGAUACCCUGGUAGUCCACGCAGUAAACGAUGAUAACUCGUUGUCGGCGAUACACAGUCGGUGACUAAGCGAAAGCGAUAAGUUAUCCACCUGGGGAGUACGUUCGCAAGAAUGAAACUCAAAGGAAUUGACGGGGGCCCGCACAAGCGGAGGAACAUGUGGUUUAAUUCGAUGAUACGCGAGGAACCUUACCCGGGCUUGAAAGUUAGCGACGAUUCUUGAAAGAGGAUUUCCCUUCGGGGCGCGAAACUAGGUGCUGCAUGGUUGUCGUCAGCUCGUGCCGUGAGGUGUCGGGUUAAGUCCCAUAACGAGCGCAACCCCUACCGUUAGUUGCCAUCAGGUGAAGCUGGGCACUCUGGCGGAAGACAGGCGAAUCUUUAUUAUCCAUAGGUAAAUUUAUUGCAGAAUAUUCAGCCCAUUUAAUGGGGGCCGGAG